rnacentral:rRNA from 1 species
GUGUCAGCAGCCGCGGUAAGACGGAGGGUGCGAGCGUUAUUCGGAUUUAUUGGGCGUAAAGGGUGUGUAGGCGGUCGGCCAAGUCUGAUGUGAAAGCCCGGGGCUUAACCUCGGAAGGGCGUUGGAAACUGGUCGACUUGAGUUCGGGAGAGGGAAGCGGAAUUCCGGGUGUAGAGGUGAAAUUCGUAGAUAUCCGGAGGAACACCGGUGGCGAAGGCGGCUUCCUGGACCGAAACUGACGCUGAGACACGAAAGCGUGGGGAGCAAACAGGAUUAGAUACCCUGGUAGUCCACGCGGUAAACGAUGGGCGCUAGGUGUGGGGGGUUUUUAAUCCCUCCGUGCCGCAGCUAACGCAUUAAGCGCCCCGCCUGGGGAGUACGGCCGCAAGGUUAAA